rnacentral:lncRNA from 1 species
GCAUUGACUAUGCUCCACUAGGCGAAAACCCUCCUCACACACACCCUCGUGCUACUGAGAUCCUAACAGUGUUGGAAGGCACACUCUAUGUGGGAUUCGUGACAUCGAACCAAGAUAACAAGCUGUUCACCAAAACGCUCAACAAGGGUGAUGUGUUCGUAUUCCCAGAAGGGCUCAUCCACUUCCAAUUCAACCCUUGCCCUGACAAGCCAGCAGUUGCAAUUGCUGCACUUAGUAGCCAGAACCCUGGUGCUAUUACCAUUGCCAAUGCUGUUUUCGGAUCAAAGCCACCGAUCUCAGAUGACGUCCUAGCCAAGGCAUUUCAAGUGGAGAAGAAGACUGUAGACUGGCUCCAAGCUCAGUUCUGGAGUGACAACCACAACUAAAUUCACGAUGUUGUAUUCAUACAAAAUGUUCUUAAUGUUUUUUAUUUUCUCAAUUUAUUUCUUGGAAGUCUUGACGUUGUAAUACAUUUGUGACCAGAAGAUCACAUGCUACAAAAUAUAAUUUACAGUUUAAAUAAGACUGUUAUAAAGAGAUCACACAGAAACAAUUGCUCUACUGAGACUUUUUUGCCAUCCCAACUCAUUUUUGUGUCUUUGUUAAUUGAAUUGUUUUGUGAGUCACAGGACUCUUGGCAUGAGAGAGAGGAGAGUAGCCUAGGGAACGGAUGCGAGACUUGCGAGUUAAGUGGAUUGUAUUUUUUUGGGUUCACGCUGCGUUUCACAGCUGGACAGUGUUAAAUUCCCACCUCCAACCAGCGGUGAAAAGUAUCAUCAGUGCCGGUUUUUGUGAUCCCUACCCCUAUCUAGUUAUAAACCGGCGAUAAAAGGAUAUCACCGCCGGUUCGCAUAAAACCGGCGGUGAUAGCCUGUUAGAGAUAGCUCGUUUUGUAGUAGUGCUACUUUAUCCAAAUGUAUGUCAGGAUCUAGUUUCAUACAUAUAUAUAUAGUGGCAUCAUUAUUGAAUAACAGUAACAGUAUCACGUAAAGGAAUAAGAGUGUAUAUUAGAGAUUUAUGCUUAAUCGUGGAAACAAAGGCUCCAAACUUCACAGGCAAACGACUGGGGCUGCAUACGCCUAGAACCCAAGAUCAUCUUCACAACAACUUCAUAGCAGCUUCUUCUUCUGAGCAACGUUGGUUAUACUCAGCAAGUGUGGAGAAAAUAUGAAUGCAAGCCUUAAAAAAGGAAAGGCUGACUGGUUUGCUGCAUUAAGCAUUUUUAGUUGGUCAUAUUUUUAUUAGCACCUGAUUAAGGUAUAAGUAUAUACCAACCCACAUUUAACAUAAACAUAAGCUAUAAGAAUAUGGCACAACCAUAACCACAAUUUAAGUCCACCUUCAAGUAUAUUAAUCAUGUGAGGGUCCAUGCCGCUCUUGACCAUGAGUAUGGCUAAUCGAUCAGUUUUACAUUCUGCAAAGAUUGCACAUCUUUACCCAUAAGUCGCAUAAAAGUUCAAAAGAACUUUGGACCCAACCAUGUUGUGCUGAUCAAGCACUCAUCACACUACCGAGGUGUGACCGCAUAGGAACGCUACGAGACCUUUACAAAGAUUCGCUACCAAGUGGUAACCCGUUAAGGUUUCCGAAUCAGUAGCAGAGCAUAGCCCUCCCUAGUGGGUUUAGUAUCUUAGCCAAGUCCACUUCCCAAGAUGACUGGGCUAUACCCCAUCUGCCGCCACCCCUCUUGCCCUUUUCAGGUAAGAUUACCCCAGACUUCAAGCUCGUGAAAAUGAUUUUAUAUUCUUCCAAAAAUUGGAUUUAGUUCUACGAAAAAUGAGAAUAAAUUACAGAAAAAGCUGGAUGGACAUCAUCUAAACGUAUUUUUGAAACUUUUACCCUCAAAAAACCCAAGAUGCAUCGGCAUGCAUGCACACACACAGAAUAACAUUAUUUAAUUUCGAAAAAUAAACAAUUAUUUUGUUUCCUAUUCUAAAUUUUCUGUAAAGAAAAAUAAAUGUUGGGAAAAAUUUUAAAAUUAUGACAAAAUCAUGGUUUAUUUAUUCCUUUUAAUCACAUCAUGAAAUUCAAAAUUUUCAGGGUGUGACAGCUCUCACUUCUCGAGGAGUCGGACAGUUUCAAGUUUGACUCCAAAUAGAUUUAGUAUAAAAAUAUAUUACAUGAUUAAUCUAUUGAUAUUUAUUUUCUACCAUAAAUGUUAGUACUAUUUUGUUUAAACUUGGUCAAAUUUAAAAUUAGUUGACUUCUUAGAAAGUGAGAGUUGUAUUCUUUUUGGGACACAAAAUAAACUUGGUCAAAUUUAAAAUUAGUUGACUUCUUAGAAAGUGAGAGUUGUAUUUUUUUGGGACGGAAGGAAUAUUUCCUUUCUUUUUCUUGCACGUCAUGAGAUUACUUGGACGCAGCAUAAUUCUCAAGUCUCCAAUGUUGCGUGUGGUCCUGAUAAUAAGACCCCAUUUGUCAAGAUCUUGAAGCAGGAGCAGUGCUAGCGGCCUGUGGAAAUGUCGACAUCGUUCAAAACGCAGCCGAUCAAAGACAAAAAGUUGUCACGUCAGCCAAGAACCGGAACCAGUUUGUUGACAAGCUCGCAGGCCUGUGGACAAUAUAAUAAGUUGAGGUACAAGUCAAGACAAUCUGUGUUGAAGAAAAAUAUUGUUUACAUUAAUAUCCAAACAAGACAUAGAAUGGUACAACAGCUUGCAGGCACACAUUAACAAGAAGUCAGUAGUACCUAAUACUCGCCAGUCACCACAAUUAAUAUUUUGAUAAAUGCGACUAGACAAUUAAGUUUAUAUUAUAAAAUCACUUUUCAUGAUGAAUCUUCUAGUUUCAAAGUUACUAGCAUGUUUAACAAUAAAUAAUCAUUACUAAAUAGUUUGACUUAGGAAAGGGUAGCCCCAUAUGUUCUAAAUAUUUUCUUUUGAGAAUGUUCUAAAUAAUUAAGCUGUACCAUAUAUGUUCAAAAAAACAGUUCUAGUGUGUUGUCGUUAUCGUAUUUUAUUUUUUUCAACGCAUUCAUACUAGCUUUUCAUGAAAGUGAUGUCAUGGCAAGAGAUGUUACCCAUCAGGAAACAUCUAUCACAAAUAAUGAACUUGAUGGCAAAAUGAAAGAGAUACAUAGGGUUCCACUAAUUGAAGCUGGCAACAUAAAUCACCUGCAUAAAGCUUGUGACACAAGUCAGAGUGCAUAUAUCGUCAUGCAAACCAUCCAAUGUCGAACAUUUCUGAUCAUGAUCCGAUUGUCUUUACGGAAUAUUCGUUUCACAGGAGUUUUGCAAUUCUUUGAUCCAAGAGAAGACCAGCAUGGGUCCCAUGCUUUUGCACAAACUUACUCAACGUUUCUGCAUCAUGAUGUGAUUGUCUUUACGUAAUAUGAGAGCUGAAAACCAUUGCAUCUCAAUUAACUAACAACUGCAUUUCAUAUAUGAUUUGCAGUUUACAAAUGAUGUCAUACAAUGUUUUACACAAUCUAUAAGGGAGUAAUUUGCAACAUCAUAUAGAGAAAUAAAAUUAAUCAAUGUUGUUUCUUAUUACACAGCUAAGCAACCAUGAUGAAAGCAUUCUUGACUUAGUUGUGGUUGUCCUCCCAAAACUGAGCUUGGAGCCAAUCCACAACCUUCUUGUCCACCUGAAACGCCUUGGCAAGAACAUCAUCCGCAAUCGGUGGUUUCGAUCCAAACACUGCAUUAGAAAUGGUAAUAGCCCCAGGGUUCUGGCUGCUUAGUGCCGCGAUGGCAACCGCUGGCUUGUCAUAACUUGGAUUGAACUGAAAGUGGAUCAGGCCUUGCGGGAACACAAAAACGUCUCCCUUGUUGAGCAUCUUACUGAAAAACUUGUUGUCCGGGUUAGACGUGACAAAACCAACGUAGAGUGAACCUUCAAGAACUGUUAGGAUCUCCGUGGCACGGGGGUGAGUGUGUGGAGGGUUCUGUCCUUGAGGAGCAUAGUCAAUCCUUGCCAUGGAGAUGCCGAGGGUGUUGAGACCUGGGAGCUUCAUCGCAUUGAUCAACGUGACGUUGGACUUGACCUUGCUCUUCGUCGUGUCCCCAGGCUUGUCAAGGUUGGCUGCUAGGAAGAAGUCAUCGACCUUAACAUCCUUCACAUCCUUGCAGGGUAACCCGUUGACACGUACUGCAUCAGCAUAUAAGCAUGUGUUAGGAAGCUAUUCUCAGGUUUUGCUGUAAAACAUCAGAAUGUGAUCAUGUUUUCUUAGAUGAAGUACAUACCAGGCGAGUAUUUGUCUGCGACGCAGAAGUCCUGGAGAGGACCGUGAUCCGAAGCCAUGGCCCCACAAGCGAUCAAGGCAAGAAGAACAAAGUGAAGAAGCAAGUUGGAGGAGGCCAUGUCUAGCAACCUCGGAGUUUGCUUUCUUCUUGCAAGCUAGGGAGCUCCUGGUUUUGUCUCGGAAUUUGUGUGUAUAGCAAUAGCUAGCUGAUGCUUUCUCCUUGGGGGUGGUUCAUCCUUAUAUAUAGCUGCUGAGAGUCUGAAGAGGUCAAUCAGCAGGGCCGGCGCACUAUAUUGAAAUGGUCUCAGGUAUAGUGCAAUCCACGCAAGCAACUAUUUGAAUUUGUCAACACGGUCUUGUGUAGGUCAUCUACGCCCAGGACGCCUGAUGAAGUAACCUAGUAGUAAUAAACUGGAGAUCAUGUAGAUAUAAUGUGUUUCUAGCUAUCGUCAUGGAUGACAAUACAAAACGAUAGUGCUGAUCGGUUCUGUGAUCCAGGUAAAAAGAAACCUUGUGAAUUAUUAGGUUAAUUGUAAGACAUGGCCAUUUAAUUUGGAUAGGUUCAUGCAUGCGCUGACACUUUCUUAACAGAUAACCGUCUGCACGCAAAUCACUAACUGAUCUGAUUAUUCUAACUUAGUUCGUAACAAAUAUUUUAUUGGUACCGUGGACACAGCAUUGCACAUGUAUGACUAAUUAGUUUGAUCAGUUAUACGUACCUAGCAGGUGAAAAUUUAUUUCUCCAUUAUAUUCAGUUAUCAAAAAUAAAUUUUAUAUGCACUAUAAACUUAUAUACCAGUGAAGUAGAUAUUACACCUAUCGACUGCAAGGGGGCACCAAAAUAAAUUCACAGCCAUUGGUAAAAUAAAAAAUUUCUGCAAGGGAUAGUCCGCUUUCCCAUAAAAAAAAAUUUCUUUGGACCAGAUUGUCACACCUUGAAAUUUUUGGAUUACAGGAUAUGAUUAAAAAGAAUAAUUAAACAAUGAUUUUCCCAUAAUUUUAAAAAUUUUCCAACAUUUAUUUUCCUGACAGGAAAUUUAUUAUAGGAAAACAAUUGGUCGUUUGUUUUAAAUUAAACAAGGUCGUUCUUUGUAUGUUGCAUUUAUGCCAAUGCAUCUUGGUGUUUCUUGAGUGCAAAAUAUUUUAAAAUGCGUUUAGACGAUGAUCAGGUUCUUCUGGGUAUUUCCCAGCUUUCUCUAGAAUUUGCACUCAUUUUCCUAUAGAUAAAUCUAUUUAUUAGAAGGCUCUACAAUCUUUUUCAUGAGCUCCAAGUACUUUAUUUGGAUUCCUCAUAUCCCAAUCUAUCUAUGGGAUUUUUCCAAGAUUUUUUGAGAUUUUCAAAAGUAUUUUUCAUGGUUUAAUCGAAUUAUCUAGAUUUUUUUCUCGAUUUUUCUUUCACGAGAAAUCAUUUCUGAAGAAAAAAGAAAAAAUCUAAUCGAUCGGUCGAGUCUUUGGGGGCCGACCCUCUCCAGCCAACCCGCACCAACCCGGCAUAGCUAACUGCCUGGCCUGGCCCACUAGGCCCACCGACCACCGGCAACUCGAGGCCGAGCGUAGCUGCGCCUAGGCGCCGCCGAACCUCAGCGUGCGCGCCAAGGCAGGCACGGACCUGCGCGCCUAUAAAAGGGCGAGCCCAUGCGCCUGCGACCCCCCCCCCCCCUGCUGCAACAGCUUCCGUCUGCCGCUUGCCUAGAGCUCCGUUGCCGUGUGUUGCGUCCCUGAGCUGCCCGCGAAGCAGAGCGCCCCCGGGCCCUCUAUGGCCAGUCACCACAAUUAAUAGUUUGAUAAAUGCGACUCGACAAUUAAGUUUAUAUCAUAAAAUCACUUUUCAUGAUGAAUCUUCUAGUUUCAAAGUUACUUGCAUGUUUAACAAUAAAUAAUCAUUGCUAAUUUAAAUAGUAUGACUUAGGAAAGGGUAGCCCCAUAUGUUCUAAAAUUUUUUUUUUGCGAAUGUUCUAAAUAAUUAAGCUGCACCAUAUAUGUUCAAAAAAACAGUUCUAUUGUGUUUUCGUUAUCAUAUUUUAUUUUUUUCAACGCAUUCAUACUAGCUUUUCAUGAAAGUGAUGUCAUGGCAAGAGAUGUUGCCCAUCAGGAAACAUCUAUCACAAAUAAUGAACUUGAUGGCAAAAUGAAAGAGAUACAUAGGGUUCCACUAAUUGAAGCUGGCAACAUAAAUCACCUGCAUAAAGCUUGUGACACAAGUCAGAGUGCAUAUAUCGUCAUGCAAACCAUCCAAUGUCGAACAUUUCUGGAUCAUGAUCCGAUUGUCUUUACGGAAUAUGUGUGUCACAGGAGUUUUGAAAUUCUUUGAUCCAAGAGAAGACCGGCAUGGGUCCCAUGCUUUUGCACAAACUUACUCAACGUUUCUGCAUCAUGAUGUGAUUGUCUUUUUGGAAUAUGAGAGCUGAAAACCAUAUAUUGCAUCUCAAUUAACUAACAACUGCAUUUCAUAUAUGAUUUGCAGUUUACAAAUGAUGUCAUACAAUGUUUUACACAAUCUAUAAGGGAGUAAUUUGCAACAUCAUAUAGAGAAAUAAAAUUAAUCAAUGUUGUUUCUUAUUACACAGCUAAGCAACCAUGAUGAAAGCAUUCUUGACUUAGUUGUGGUUGUCCUCCCAAAACUGAGCUUGGAGCCAAUCCACAACCUUCUUGUCCACCUGAAACGCCUUGGCAAGAACAUCAUCCGCAAUCGGUGGUUUCGACCCAAACACUGCAUUAGAAAUGGUAAUAGCCCCAGGGUUCUGGCUGCUUAGUGCCGCGAUGGCAACCGCUGGCUUGUCAUAACUUGGAUUGAACUGAAAGUGGAUCAGGCCUUGCGGGAACACAAAAACGUCUCCCUUGUUGAGCAUCUUACUGAAAAACUUGUUGUCCGGGUUAGACGUGACAAAACCAACGUAGAGUGAACCUUCAAGAACUGUUAGGAUCUCCGUGGCACGGGGGUGAGUGUGUGGAGGGUUCUGUCCUUGAGGAGCAUAGUCAAUCCUCGCCAUGGAGAUGCCGAGGGUGUUGAGACCUGGGAGCUUCAUCGCAUUGAUCAACGUGACGUUGGACUUGACCUUGCUCUUCGUCGUGUCCCCAGGCUUGUCAAGGUUGGCUGCUAGGAAGAAGUCAUCGACCUUAACAUCCUUCACAUCCUUGCAGGGCAACCCGUUGACACGUACUGCAUCAAUGAAGCAACAUACAUGUGUUAUGGGAGGCUCAUCAUCAAACGUGUACUACGCCAUGUGAUUUUCAUUACAAGGCGGUAUAAACUUUCUCAAUUUUCAUUUCAGCUUCGUUAUGAACCACGCAAUCAUGAUGUGAUACAGACGUGUUAUGAUUAAGAUGAAGACUGAAGCACAUACCAUGCGUGUCUUUGUCGGCGACACAGAAGUCCUGGAGAGGACUGGGAUCCGAUGCUAUGGCACCGGAAGCGGCCAAGGCGAGAAGAACGGUGAGAAGAAAGAAGUUGGAGGAGGCCAUGCCUAGCAACCUAGACAGGAGUUUUCUCUCUUCUAUGGAGCUGCCUGUUGUGUAUAUGUAUCUAUACUUAGCUGAUGCUUUGUCCAUGGAGGCGUUGCAUGCAUAUAUAUAGCAGCUGAGACUCUGAAGAGGUCAUUCAGCAGGUUGCCCAACAGAAAUUGUCUCAGGUGUAGUGUAUCCCGAGAAAGAACCUAUUUGAUUUGGUCAACACGUUCUUGAUGAGUAAAUCAAUGCAAUAUCUACUCCCAAGACCCAGAUGAGGUGACCGUGUAAAAUUGUGAUCGUGGUGUAAAAUUUUAAUAAACACAACAGUUAUCCAUCAGGAAAUAUGAGAGCAAAAGAAUACUAACAAGUAACAGUGUUGCAUAGUCCCAUGCAUGACCACGUCUGAUUAGUUACCAAACACAUACAUAAAAAAGGAUGAACUCGAGGAAACUUCGUCGAGUUUGACUGAUGCAAAUAAACAAUUGCAGAUGGUCAGAGCAUGUACUCGACCUGAUAACGACCGUUUCAAUCUAGCAAUGUUGCUCAUCUUCUGGUUGACUUAUUCCCAACCUCACCUACUCUUUCUGCUUCUAUAUAUACACGUCCAUCCUCCCCAGGGCCAAAGCAUCAAACAGCUAGCAGAAACCCAAACACCACCAAGCCAAAUAAGAACAACAGAAAUACACCAAAUGGCCUCCUCCACCACCUUUCUUGUUCUGACCGCUCUUCUUGCACUGCUCUCAUGGCAAGCGAUUGCUUCGGACCCAAGCCCUCUGCAGGAUUUCUGCGUUGCUGACAAGGAUUCUCAUGGUAUGUACCUUCACAUAUAUCAUCCGAACAUUUGUUAAUUAUUUGUAAUUGUACAAACUAUAUGUAUAAUUACAUGUAAUCAAACAUAUGUCGGACUUCAAUUCUUAUUAGCUUUUGGGCAUAACUUCAACAUGUGUUCCCCUCCAUGAUGCAGUGCGUGUCAAUGGAUUUGUGUGCAAAGACCCGAAGGACGUCAAGGCAGAUGACUUCUUCCUAGCAGCCAACCUCGACAAGCCAAGGGACACGACAGUUAGCAAGGUUGGGUCCAAUGUGACCUUGAUCAAUGUCAUGCGGAUCCCUGGCCUCAACACCCUUGGAAUCUCCCUAGCACGCAUUGACUAUGCUCCACUAGGCGAAAACCCUCCUCACACACACCCUCGUGCUACUGAGAUCCUAACAGUGUUGGAAGGCACACUCUAUGUGGGAUUCGUGACAUCGAACCAAGAUAACAAGCUGUUCACCAAAACGCUCAACAAGGGUGAUGUGUUCGUAUUCCCAGAAGGGCUCAUCCACUUCCAAUUCAACCCUUGCCCUGACAAGCCAGCAGUUGCAAUUGCUGC